rnacentral:lncRNA from 1 species
CCUCACUUUCUAAUGAAUCAUUGUUUUCGCAGCCUUUUAAAGAAGAAGAGCAGCCCUCUUAAUGGCCUGAACAGAUAUCUGGCAAGAAUAACUGAAGUGGGAAUUGCAGGAAUUCUGAAACGCCCUGAGGUGUGUCAGCAGCAGCUGCAAGCAAGGGUGCUGAGGCUCAAUAGAAACUAUGCUGGUUAUACUCUGUCACAUGAUUUUCCAGAUGCUUUGGCAUUCUUCUUUGGAACAAAUGUUUUGGACACCCGCCUGUGGAAAGCCACACUGUUGAAAGAAAUUCUAUUGAAAAUACUUCUUAUUAAAUAAUUCAGAUGGAUUCGUUUCUGACAGAAAAUAGAACAGCGGAUGAAGAGAAGGGAUUUAUACAUAAUUGUCAUGAAGGAGAAAGAUGGAAGUAAGGAAGCCAAACAGUUAAGGUAUCUUUAGUGACAUCACAGGAGAUGGAUAUAAAACAUGUAU